rnacentral:rRNA from 1 species
UACGAAGGGGGCUAGCGUUGCUCGGAAUCACUGGGCGUAAAGCGCACGUAGGCGGAUCUUUAAGUCAGGGGUGAAAUCCUGGAGCUCAACUCCAGAACUGCCUUUGGUACUGGGGAUCUUGAGUCCGGAAGAGGUGAGUGGAACUCCGAGUGUAGAGGUGAAAUUCGUAGAUAUUCGGAAGAACACCAGUGGCGAAGGCGGCCACCUGGACAGUGACUGACGCUGAGACGCGAAAGCGUGGGGAGCAAACAGG